UACGUUACAAAUGUCUAAAACUUUAAUGCAAUAGAUCCCAUUAGAAUGUUGUAGUUAAGCAUGCUUGGGAUAGAGUUGUAUUGGGAUGAGUGAUUUCCCAGGAAGUCCUAGUGUUUUACAUGC
rnacentral:rRNA from 1 species